rnacentral:rRNA from 1 species
UACGUAGGGGGCAAGCGUUGUCCGGAUUUAUUGGGCGUAAAGAGCGUGUAGGCGGCCAGGUAGGUCAGCUGUGAAAACUCGAGGCUCAACCUCGAGACGCCGAUGGAAACCCUCGAACUAGAGUCCGGAAGAGGAGAGUGGAAUUCCUGGUGUAGCGGUGAAAUGCGCAGAUAUCAGGAAGAACACCCGUGGCUAAGGCGGCUCUCUAGUACGGUACUGACGCUGAGGAGCGAAAGCGUGGGGAGCGAACAGG